UACGUAGGUGGCGAGCGUUGUCCGGAUUUACUGGGCGUAAAGAGCGCGCAGGCGGUCGUGCAAGUCGCGUGUGAAAGCCCCCGGCUCAACUGGGGAGGGUCACGCGAUACUGCUCGACUCGAAGGCAGGAGAGGGAAGUGGAAUUCCCGGUGUAGUGGUGAAAUGCGUAGAUAUUGGGAGGAACACCAGUGGCGAAGGCGACUUCCUGGCCUGUUCUUGACGCUGAGGCGCGAAAGCUAGGGUAGCAAACGGG
rnacentral:rRNA from 1 species